rnacentral:snoRNA from 1 species
UCUCUAGAUGAGGAAGAUUUUAUUGCUUACAUUGUAAACGGCCUAGAUGGCAACUAUGAUCCGUUUGUUUCAUCUCUUGGGAUGCGGGUAGAACCCAUCUCAAUAACCGAGCUAUAUGCCCAGCUGUUGAGUUUUGAAA